ensembl:lncRNA MAP3K14-AS1 MAP3K14 antisense RNA 1
AUCAGGCGGAAGCCGGGGCCCGGGGCUGGGCUUCGUGUCCUGCGUUCCGGGAGCGCCAACCCCUCCAGGGAGAGGCUGUCGAUGCUGAGGCACGAGAGAAUUUGCUCCUGCUCCUCCAGAGAAAAUGGCUGGGACAGGCUGUUGAGGAAUAAUUCUGCAGGGAAAAGUGGAAGAUGGCUGUGAAAGACUGGGAGGAGGCUGGCUGUGUUUUCAGGGGUUCUUCCUGCACAGUCGGUAGAAGCUGAGCUGCUGGGGAAGGGGCUGGAAGAAAGCCCACACCGCAGGUAUCAGUAGCAAAUUCAAAAACUACAGAAUCAGCUCCAGAGGACUUUGUUAACAAGAAAGAGAAGAUUGAAAACAGCCCUGGGGCUACACCAACUCAAGAGCUCCCAGGCAAAGUGGCAUCCUGGACCCACCAUCUCUCCUACCCCAUCCUCAGUCGGUACUUCCCCAGGCACCGUUUGUUCUGGCAUGGGGCUAGUUCAGCCCUGGGACCACCCUCAUCCUUAUAACUACCAGCUGUCUUUGGUGAGGUGCAAGAUCUCUCUGGUUUUCUUUAUUUCAUUUUCAUUCCUAUAAUCACAGCCUUUUUUGUGCCCAUCCCUCAGGUGACAUUCUAUUAUGUUUGAUGUGUCAUUUUUGAUUUGGUUGUGUCCUUGCAAAAUGUGCGUUGUUUUAUUUAUCAAUUUAUUUUUAUUUUUAUUUUUUUAAAGAGAUGAGGUCUCAUCAUGUUGCCCAGGCUGGACUCCAACUCCUGGGCUCAAGCGAUCCUUCCACCUCAAUCUUCUGAGUGGCUGGGACUACAGAUGUGCGCCACCAUACCUGGCUAUUGAUCAAUUUUUAGUUUACCAAACAGGCAUUAUGUUCUGGGUCCCAUUCUGUGUCGGGUUCUCUUUUCACUCGGCACCAUGGCUUUAGGAUCCAUCCAUGCUGCUCUGUGAACGCCGAGUUGCUUUAACUGCUUGGUGCUCCAUGAGGCAUCCCCUUUUGUGUCUCUGUCCUCCCAGUGAGGGACCCCAUCGUACCCUACUCCCCUCCCACAAAGGAAGCUGUAGUGCGCGUCCUCAGGCGUGUCCCCAUAUGGAUCUGCUGGCAUUCGUUUGUCAGUGCACCCAGGGGUAGAAGUCCUUGGUCUCAGUCUGCAGACGUCUGCCUGAGUGCAGCCAGGUGCCCCCCCAGAGUGGGUAGCCUUGUCCACAUGCCCAUCAGCAGCACCUGAGGGGUCCCAACAGCCCUACAUCCCACCAACUUUCUGCUUUUUUCCAGUCAAAUGGCUCUUGAGUGUUACCUGGCUUUAUUUAUUUAUUUAUUUUUUGAGUCGGGUCUCUGUUGCGCAGGCUGGAGUGCAGUGGUGCAAUCAUGGCUCACUGCAGCCUCGACCUUCCAGGCUCAAACAAUCCUCUCACCUCCUGAGUAGCUAGGACUACACGCAUGUGCCACCAUGCCUGGCUAAUUUUUAAAUUUUUUUGCAGAGAAAGGGUCUUGCUAUGUUGCCCAGGCUGAUCUUGAACUCCUGGCCUCAAGCGAUCCUCCUGCCCCAGCCUCCCAAAGUGCUGGGAUUACAGGUGUGAGCCACUGCUCCCGGCCUGUCUUUAUUUUGUAUUCUUGGAUUCCUAGUGAGUUUGAGCCCCCUCUAUACAUCAUAACCCUUAUGAUACUAGUAAACAUAUAUUUUAUCUUUAACCCCAUUUCUGGCACAGAACUCCUAAAAGCCUUACUCUCCAAAAUGAUCUCUUUCUGUGUACUAAUGGAUUGACUGAAGGCUGGCAGCCCCUAGGUAGCUUCAAGAUGGGGGCUGGUCAUCAGAGAGACAUAGGCAGGAUUAGAGGGUUGGGACUUUCAUCCCACCAUCCCACGUACUGGGAGGGAAGGGGGCUAAAGGUUAAGCGGUUCGCCAAUGGCCAGUGAUUUAUUCAAUCAUGCCUACGUAAUGAAGCCUACACAAAAACCCAAGAAGACCGGGUUCAGAGAACUUCUGGUAGCUGGGCACAUGGAGGUUCCUGGAGGGUGCCAAGCCCUGGAAGCUCUGUGCUCCCUCCCACAUGCCUUGCCCUAUGCAUCUCUUCAUUUGUAUCCUUUGUAAUAUCCUU